UUAUUGUGCAUGGAUUAUUUGUUUAAAUAAUCUACAAGUGCCCCAGCCGGCCAGUAGCCAGCCCACAGGCUGGCCACCAGCCAGCCCACAGGCCAGUAGCCAGCCCACAGGCCUACAGCAAGCCACAGGCUUACAGCCAGCAAGCCCACAGCCUGCCAGCCGCAGCCAGCAAGCCCACAGCCUGCCAGCCGCAGCCAGCAAGCCCACAGCCUGCCAGCCGC